CACUGCAGAGACUGUCCACCUUUACUCCAGAGACUAGAAGUGGAUUCGCCUGGAACAGAACCAGUCAUCACACUGUGAAUUCUCCCAACAACAGUUUGAAUCUCGAGAGCUGCUGGGCAGGAGGUCUCAUUAACUAUUCUCUCUUUCGGACCCAGAGAGCAGGAAACUGAGGGAAUAUCUGAGAUCGGACGAUGUUCGGGAAAUCGUACUUCCUCCUGGCACUUUUCCAAGCUGUGGUGUCUCAGGAGUGGAGGGCCGACAUUCCAACAAAUGUGACGGCGCAGAGGGGUUUGUGUGCCCGGAUCCCG